rnacentral:sRNA from 1 species
UAUCCCUACCAACUCUACAUUGCUCCUUCCACCAGCAGUACAGAACGACCAAGUCCAAAUGGUCCCGACAGACCUUUUCAGUGUCCAACCUGCGGGGUGCGAUUCACCCGUAUUCAGAACCUAAAGCAGCACAUGCUCAUCCACUCAGGAAUUAAACCAUUUCAGUGUGACCGCUGUGGGAAAAAGUUCACCAGGGCUUACUCGCUAAAGAUGCAUCGCCUAAAGCAUGAAGGUAAACGCUGUUUCCGGUGCCAGAUAUGUAGUGCCACUUUCACUUCCUUCGGGGAAUAUAAACACCACAUGAGGGUUUCCCGGCACAUUAUCCGCAAGCCUCGGAUUUACGAGUGCAAAACAUGUGGCGCCAUGUUCACCAACUCUGGAAAUUUAAUCGUGCACCUGAGGAGUCUGAACCAUGAAGCAUCAGAGCUAGCAAACUACUUCCAGAGCAGGUGAGGUGCACAACGAAAACCCAACCAGGAAAACUGCUUUCUAAACUCUCUUUUCCUGCUUUUAGGGCAGCCUUCUGUGUUUUUACAUCAGGUUGCCAGCUAGUCAGUCACAUUUGUUACAGAUUCCCACUGUUCAUACUCUAAUCUCCUGAUCUGAUAAAA